rnacentral:rRNA from 1 species
CGAAGCGUGCGAUUGGAUUGCACGUCUAAGCAGUAAGGCUGAGUAUUAGGCAAAUCCGGUACUCAUUAAGGCUGAGCUGUGAUGGGGAGAAGACAUUGUGUCUUCGAGUCGUUGAUUUCACACUGCCGAGAAAAGCCUCUAGAUAGAAAAUAGGUGCCCGUACCGCAAACCGACACAGGUAGUCAAGAUGAGAAUUCUAAGGUGAGCGAGCGAACUCUCGUUAAGGAACUCGGCAAAAUGACCCCGUAACUUCGGGAGAAGGGGUGCUCUUUAGGGUUAACGCCCAGAAGAGCCGCAGUGAAUAGGCCCAAGCGACUGUUUAUCAAAAACACAGGUCUCUGCUAAACCGUAAGGUGAUGUAUAGGGGCUGACGCCUGCCCGGUGCUGGAAGGUUAAGAGGAGUGGUUAGCUUCUGCGAAGCUACGAAUCGAAGCCCCAGUAAACGGCGGCCGUAACUAUAACGGUCCUAAGGUAGCGAAAUUCCUUGUCGGGUAAGUUCCGACCCGCACGAAAGGCGUAACGAUUUGGGCACUGUCUCAACGAGAGACUCGGUGAAAUCAUAGUACCUGUGAAGAUGCAGGUUACCCGCGACAGGACGGAAAGACCCCGUGGAGCUUUACUGUAGCCUGAUAUUGAAAUUCGGCACAGCUUGUACAGGAUAGGUAGGAGCCUUUGAAACGUGAGCGCUAGCUUACGUGGAGGCGCUGGUGGGAUACUACCCUAGCUGUGUUGGCUUUCUAACCCGCACCACUUAUCGUGGUGGGAGACAGUGUCAGGCGGGCAGUUUGACUGGGGCGGUCGCCUCCUAAAAGGUAACGGAGGCGCUCAAAGGUUCCCUCAGAAUGGUUGGAAAUCAUUCAUAGAGUGUAAAGGCAUAAGGGAGCUUGACUGCGAGACCUACAAGUCGAGCAGGGUCGAAAGACGGACUUAGUGAUCCGGUGGUUCCGCAUGGAAGGGCCAUCGCUCAACGGAUAAAAGCUACCCCGGGGAUAACAGGCUUAUCUCCCCCAAGAGUUCACAUCGACGGGGAGGUUUGGCACCUCGAUGUCGGCUCAUCGCAUCCUGGGGCUGUAGUCGGUCCCAAGGGUUGGGCUGUUCGCCCAUUAAAGCGGUACGCGAGCUGGGUUCAGAACGUCGUGAGACAGUUCGGUCCCUAUCCGUCGUGGGCGUAGGAAAUUUGAGAGGAGCUGUCCUUAGUACGAGAGGACCGGGAUGGACAUACCUCUGGUGUACCAGUUGUCGUGCCAACGGCAUAGCUGGGUAGCUAUGUGUGGACGGGAUAAGUGCUGAAAGCAUCUAAGCAUGAAGCCCCCCUCAAGAUGAGAUUUCCCAACUUCGGUUAUAAGAUCCCUCAAAGAUGAUGAGGUUAAUAGGUUCGAGGUGGAAGCAUGGUGACAUGUGGAGCUGACGAAUACUAAUCGAUCGAAGACUUAAUCAA